rnacentral:sRNA from 1 species
UUAGCAUCUGUUAGUAAUUAACUUAUGCAAUCAACUCCUCUUCUGCACCCACUUGUUCCUGGCCAUUGUGACCUUGCAUAACCCUCGAUGUUCUUCCACUCUGCGCUCCGCGCUUGUGUAGUUUCUAAUGAUUCUUCCACAUAUCUCUUAACAUUCUUCCACUCUGUGCUCUGCACUUGUGUAGUCUCUAAUUGUGACGGGUUAGCACCCGUUAGUAAUUAACUUACACAACCAACUCCCCUCCUGCACCCGCUUGUUCCUGGCUGUUGUGACCUCGUGUAACCCUCGAUGUUCUUCUGCUCCAUGCUCCGCGCUCGCGUAGUUUCUAAUGAUUCUUCUGUGUAGCUCUUAACAUUCUUCCACUCUGUGCUCUGCACUUGUGUAGUUUCUAAUGAUUCUUAUGUGUAUCCCUUAAUGUUCUUCUGCUCUGCACUUCACUGUGAAGCAGCUUCUGAUAUUCUUCUGCUCUGAACUUUUCUCUAUAAGAAUCCUCUUCAUAUGAUCUUUUCUUCUGAUUUCUUUUCUCUUUCUUUUCUUAAUCAAUUUGUAAUC